rnacentral:rRNA from 1 species
UUGCCUACGGGGGGCAGCAGUGGGGAAUCUUCCGCAAUGGGCGCAAGCCUGACGGAGCAAUGCCGCGUGAACGAAGAAGGUCUUCGGAUUGUAAAGUUCUGUCCUUAUCGAAGAGAGGGUAUAGAGUGAAAAAUGAUAUACUAGGACGGUAGAUGAGGAGGAAGCCCCGGCUAACUACGUGCCAGCAGCCGCGGUAAUACGUAGGGGGCGAGCGUUGUCCGGAAUCACUGGGCGUAAAGGGAGCGUAGGCGGCCCUGUAAGUCUGAUGUGAAAAUUUGGGGCUCAACCCCACACGUGCAUUGGAA